rnacentral:sRNA from 1 species
GCUUAUAUGGUAUAAUUUAAUGGUAGAAAAGUGAAGACGGUGGCUCCUAGAUCCUGAAAGAAAGAGGUGAUGCCUAUGGGCAAUUCAUCAAAAUCUGACGGAAAGGGGGAGCACUUUUGACUGCGUUUGAAGUUGUGCAAACCAUCUUUGGUUUUGGUAGCUUUACCAUUUCUUUGAUUGGUUUGUG